UCUCCGUUGGUGAACCAGCGGAGGGAUCAUUACCGAGUGCAAACUCAUAACCCUUUGUGAACCUAUAUCUGUUGCUUCGGCGGCUCGCUCUCGGGCGAGCCCGCCGGUAAUAUCAGUAUCUCUGUUUGAACCCGACGAUACUUCUGAGUGUUCUUAGCGAACAGUUAAAACUUUUAACAACGGAUCUCUAGGCUCUU
rnacentral:misc_RNA from 1 species